rnacentral:rRNA from 1 species
CAAACGGCGGCUGUAAUGUCCCUAAGGUAGCAAAAUUCCUUGACGGGUAAGUUCCGUCCUGCAUGAACGAUGUAACGACUUCCUCACUGUCGCUAGCCUGAUCUCUGUGAUAUUGAGUCAUCCUUGAAUACGUGGAACCAUACUACCCGACGGUAAGACCCUGUGCACCUUUAUUUCUCC